UGACUAUGUGUGGGUUCUGCUCUGAUGACUAUCCCCUUAGUGAAGCGUUUAAAUUCAGGCAGAAAGACAGCUGCAUCUCCAAAAAAAAGGCUGAGAGAAGAGCUUCGCCAAAAACAGUAGGGACCAAACUUAUAAUUUCUUUCGACUUUAUAAGACAACAGCAAGAUACCAAUUUGGAACAUGAAGAUUGUAAUUCUGCUUCUUUCUCUCCUGGGACUGACAUUCUGUUUACCCGUCAAUCAAUUUGGUAGACACUUUGCUACAAGCAACAGCAGAGAAAUAUUACGGCUGAUGCAAAGGUACAAAGCCCAAGGAAACGUUCCGCAGCAAACACAGCAAAGGUCAAAUCCUGGGAUUGGACUGCCUCCAGCAAAGCUGGUUCCAGAUCAGCAUCCAUUAGCAAACCAUAUCCCCAGUGAGAUUCCUGCAUUUGAACGGCCUUUUGCAAAUUACCCCAUUUUAACUGCACAGAACCCACAGGAGCUCGGAAGUCCUACCCUACAGAACUUUCCUGGCUUCAAUGUACUACCAUUAACCCAAAUGGUUCCAAUAGAUAUCAAUUAUCUUGCUCUGCUAUUAGGAGCAUUAUCCACAACACAAACACAACCUCUACCAGGUGGUGGGUUGAAUAUACCACAGCAGCUGCUGCCACCACCACAAUCAGUAAGUAUUUCCUAACAUUUCUAAGGCUAAAAUCCUCUGGUCCUGUAGACACUCUUCCAGG
rnacentral:lncRNA from 11 species